GGGGUUGUGGCUCAGUGGUAGAGUGCUUGCCUAGCAUGUGGGAGGUGCUGGGUUCCAUCCCCAGCACCA
rnacentral:tRNA from 1 species